CGAACGCUGGCGGCGUGCCUAAUACAUGCAAGUCGAGCGAAGUUUUUCUGGUGCUUGCACCGGAAAAACUUAGCGGCGAACGGGUGAGUAACACGUAAAGAACCUGCCUCAUAGACUGGGACAACUAUUGGAAACGAUAGCUAAUACCGGAUAACAGCAUUAACUGCAUGGUUGAUGUUUAAAAGUUGGUUUUGCUAACACUAUGAGAUGGCUUUGCGGUGCAUUAGCUAGUUGGUGGGGUAAAGGCCUACCAAGGCGACGAUGCAUAGCCGACCUGAGAGGGUGAUCGGCCACACUGGGACUGAGACACGGCCCAGACUCCUACGGGAGGCAGCAGUAGGGAAUCUUCCGCAAUGGGCGAAAGCCUGACGGAGCAACGCCGCGUGAGUGAAGAAGGAUUUCGGUUCGUAAAGCUCUGUUGUUAGGGAAGAAUGAUUGUGUAGUAACUAUACACAGUAGAGACGGUACCUAACCAGAAAGCCACGGCUAACUACGUG
rnacentral:rRNA from 1 species